AGGAACAGCAUAUACUGUUAUGUAGAUCUACAGUGAAAGAAUAAUAAAAUUGCAGCGUUUUUGGCAAAAUACUCAAUUGUCUUGUUUUCGGCUUUCCUUUGCCAACACUACCGAAAAUCACUUUCCCAAUUUGCUGAGAUUGAACGCGAAGAGAGAUUCAGAACAGGGACUUGGUCAGGAGCUUGUGCAAAGUACUCCUCUGAAGCACCAUUGCCGGCCAUCGAGAGGCGAAAUUUGUGAGUAAUCGAAGCAGAUUUCAGCUCGCGACUUCAAAUCCAAACCUCCUCUGAGCUCUAACCCCCUCUUCACUCUUCGAUCCAUCUUGCUAAUACGCCCCUCUUUGAGAGCGACCUUGUCUGCAAGAGCCCACCCUCGCAUUUCAAUCCAUCAUGAUCUUAACCCCCUUCCACAACGAAUAGCACAUCUCGAACCCCCACAGCUCCGACCCCUCUUCGCUCUUCAAUUUACUGUUAAGGGUUGGUUGGUGUUUUCAUUGCUGUUGUCUAAGGUUACAUGCCCCCUAUUACUCGCCGUGCUUCCAAAGCAUUGAAGACGAAAAAUUGUGAGAAUUGUUGUGCAUCCAACUCAGCUUGAGGGGAAAACGAUUUACAAAAGUGCAUUUCUAACUACUACAAGAUGAGAAAACAAAGGCGCAAUCCAGGUGGGUAGAAAUUUUAUUUCACUAGGCAGCAUGAAAUAGAAAUUGCCAACUGCCUUGUCAGCAUGCAUAGAGCUAAUGAAAUUAAGGACAAUAAUAUUGGUAGCUACAUGGUUCCCGAAAUUCAGCAGCGGUUGAACGGCCAAUAUGGCACAUCGUUCACUUCGGACAGUAUAAGAGCCAAAUACUAUGCCUUGCGAGAACUGGCCAAACUGUACAUUGCCUUCAAGAGGCGGGAAACGGGACUAGGUUGGAAUAGCCAGAACUUUACCUGGCUCAUGGACGAUAGCAAGUGGGCCGAGCUUGCACGGGUAUAUUUUGUCAAAUGACUGCACCGUCUACCACUUGCUUGAGGAAGUUUUUGUCAACUAAGGAGCAACGGGAGAUUUCAGCGCUGGCUUUGAGAACGAGCCUCGUACUUCAGCCGAGGAGAGAUACAUGGAGAACGUUGCACGAUCCUCACGGGGAAAGGGAAGGUCGGACUAUGCGCACGAGGGUCUUGAAUUAAAAUUGGCGGUUUCAUUAAUCAAAGUUAUGUCUUUUAGCAAAAUGGUAUGUCAGGGAUUUGACACUUUAUGUAUUAUUGUUUAAAUAAAUCUUAUAUACACUAAUAAUUCAUACAGUAUUAUCGAUUAGAUUCAUGACAUAUGAGCAAAUUUUGAACUUUAAAUUU